UCUCAGGGGACUCUCAGCAGGUAG
rnacentral:piRNA from 1 species